UUUCUGUCGCCCUGAUCAAGUCACAAAGAGCUUGAUUGACCUGCAAUUUUCCAUUUACGCAAUCAAAAUGAGAUCAUUGUAGUGCAAGAUUUUUCACCGUGGCAAAAAUUUCAAUGGCCUACAUUAUGCAAAAUCAGUAGUUCAAGCAGAAAAAUACCUCAUCGGUCUUCUCAUGACUCACUAAAUGGCCACCAUGGAGAUCUAUCAUCCUAGCAACAGGAUACAGCUUCUCCGCUAGUCUCUUUGCGUAGUAUAUUUGAGCAAUGAUAUCAUGCCUACAAAUUAGAACCACCUCAAAUUAAUCUUGAGCAGCCAACAUACUCAUCAAGGUAUUCCUGCACACCAAAAAGAAAGUUAAAUUCGACUAAGCAAGAGAGCUUCACUUUGAAAUAUUAAUUGACCCAGGCAA